UACGGGGGGGCAAGCGUUGUUCGGAAUUACUGGGCGUAAAGGGCUCGUAGGUGGCCAACUAAGUCAGACGUGAAAUCCCUCGGCUUAACCGGGGAACUGCGUCUGAUACUGGAUGGCUUGAGUUCGGGAGAGGGAUGCGGAAUUCCAGGUGUAGCGGUGAAAUGCGUAGAUAUCAGGAGGAACACCGGUGGCGAAGGCGGAUCUCUGGGCCUUGCCUGACGCUGAGGCGCGAAAGCUAGGGGAGCGAACAGG
rnacentral:rRNA from 1 species